GACGAACGCUGGCGGCGUGCUUAACACAUGCAAGUCGAACUAAGUGGGGAACGGGUGAGUAAUACGUGGGUAACCUGCCCUCCUUUAUGGGAUAAGCCUUGGAAACGGGGUCUAAUACCGCAUAAAGGGGGAUGGGCUCGCGGACUAUCAGCUUGUUGGUGGGGUGAUGGCCUACCAAGGCGGCGACGGGUAGCCGGCCUGAGAGGGUGACCGGCCAGUUGGGGACUGAGACACGGCACAGACUCCUACGGGAGGGAGCAGUGGGGAAUAUUGCACAAUGGGCGCAAGCCUGAUGCAGCCAUGCCGCGUGUAUGAAGAAGGCCCUAGGAUUGUAAAGUAAUUUCCAUAGGGAGGCGUUACCGACAGAAGAAGCACCGGCUAACUCCGUGCCAGCCGCCGCGGUAAUUC
rnacentral:rRNA from 1 species